CAAAGACGUGAACCAGGACCUCAGAGACGCAUCUGGACCUUCAGCUGAUCCACAUACUGUUGGCCAAAGCCUCAUCAGAAAUGGUCUCCAUGGAAGUGUAGCUGUUAGGAAGCCAUUAGGGAAACAGGGAGAAAAUGCUGAGGUA